UCUCCCCUUCAUCCCCAGCCUCACCCGAAGUCCUGGUCCAUGGAUUUGAAGAAGAAUUUGUAGUUGGGUUUGUUGAGGACUUGUUUGAAGUCGGCCAGAGUGACCCUGUCCGCUGGCAGAGGCAGUUUCACCAAGUAUGGGGUCUCCUGCUCAUCGAUGUGGUAAAUGAUCUUCGUCUCCCCCAUGGCCGGCUCCGGGAGGCCGGCGGAGCCCUGGCUCCGACUCUCGCGGUUGUCCAGCAGGCCCACACUCUUCUACCCGGCCGCUCGACUCCUUCGAUCUUGCAGUCGGCUGGAUGGCUCCUUUCUGCCGCCAGAAACUUUGUAUCCUUCGCGCUGAUUGUUCCCCUUCCCCCGGCCGAUACUUUGUAUCCUUCCCGCAAUUUGUUCCCCUUCCCCCGGCCGAUACUUUGUAUCCUUCCCGCUGAUUGUUCCCUUUCCCCCAGCCGAUAUUUUGUAUCCUUCCUGAUGACUGUAUCUUCUCCCUCUCCUUAUACCCGCUUCCCGGACUUCCCUCCCGGCCCCGAUCCCACACAGGCCGGUCGGAGCACGGGAGGCUGAGCUGAGCUUCGAUCCGAUCCGCCCAGCACUGACAGCGGCCACACAAACCCCAAUCAGACGGGGAGGGGAGCGGCCGCCCCGUCACAGCGCCAGUGCCAUCAAUCCCCGGCACGGCCCAGCCCAACCAUGGCCGGCAGCCUGACAGCUGGCAAACAACCCCUCACCCCACCACCACUCACUUUGCCUAAGGCCGCUGCUGUGCCAGGGAGGAGGGUGAUGCGACCGAUGAACUCAGUUGGGGUUAAUCUCACCUCAUCUCCGGAAUUCGACUCUUUUGCUCGUGCUUGAUCCCAAGCAGUAAUGACAUCAGAAAUCAGAUGGCUCGGGAAGAACCCAAACUAAACAUCAGUGAACAGGUUAUUGGGCCUGUGUGGUGUUCAGUUACUCUUGCCAAUACUGCAAGGAACAGAAGCAUCUGCAGCAGGCAGAUUGUUGAAGAUGAGGACAAGUAGCUUGGUCCCUGUUGAUCUGCUGCAGACACAAAUCUAGCAACUAUGUCCUUCAGGAUUAGACCAGGUCUGAGGUUGAUUCCUCCAUCGUCACUGAACUCAUCUUCAUCUUCUUCCUGAUCUGGUAAAUGCAUCGAGACCACAGUACCUUCUGGAAGCGUCAGAUCAGGCCCCACAACUACCUGUAGGAGGUGUGGUUGCAUCAAUUAUGGCACAUCCACUGCAGCUUCCGGCAUACUGUUUUGAGCACCUGAAUGCUCUUGGAUUUUUGUCACUUGGCAAUUUAACAAAACUGUAUUUUGCAAUAAAUGCAAUGCAUCGCAGUCUAAACAACCUUCAUAAU